rnacentral:tRNA from 1 species
GAGGGUAUAGCUCAAGUGGUAGAGCACAUGUUUAGCAUGCAUGAGGUCCUGAGUUCAAUCCCCAGUACCUCCU